AAAAAACAAAACGGUCACUGGGUAUGGUACCUUUUUAAGUGCUGCAAAAACAAAAUGUCCAUACAGGAAACACCUGUUAUAUAGGUACUGUGUCUUUAAACACCAGACAGUCACCAUAAAAGUGUUCAAACUUCACUAUCAGCACUUUAAACCCUCCCUCAGAUAAGACUCAGUCUCAAAUCAGAGCAGUGCAUUCAACAUCUACUUUAUUGCCGUAAUCACCUGUGUUCUCUGAGUUGCUUCUGAAUUGUGAAUUUCUUCAUUGCCAUGGAGAGGAGUGAUGAUUCAUUUUUAGUAUUUAAUAUUCCAGCGAGUUCGUAAGGAGCGCGUGGAGCAUGUGCAGACUCAAGUUCGAGCCGUGGAUCAACCGUCUGUCUACGUCAUUCCCAUCUCUCUGUCUGAAGAUGAGCUGCACAGACCACCGCGCUACAGCACUGUACAGUUCUACGAGCCGCCCCCUGCUUAUCACGAGUUGAAUCUGAAGCCCGAGGCCUUUCCUGUGGAACCCCCUCCUGCAUAUUCAGAAUCUGUCUCUCCUUCACCCUCACAUUCAUGAUCAUAAGCGCAUCUCAAGCACUUGGACUGGUUAAAGGAAAAAUAAGAAGCAACGUCAUAUUCUCAUGACUUUUCCAAGUACUACUCAUGCUACCUAUGCAAAGGUUUAAAUGGUGAGAAAGAUAAUGUCACAGUUAUAAUAAUCUGUGACUCUGUUGGGAUUUUGAACAUGUCCUACAGGCUCACAAAGACAGUUUUGCACAAUGAGCAGCAGAACUUGGUUAAAGGUUUAAAAGUAUAUAUGUUUUGUGAAUAUUUAUCAAUUUUGUACAUGCUAUAGCUAAACUUUUUUUGUUAACUUUGUGAAAAUGUGUUCAUUUAUAAGAAAUGUUGUAAAUGGUUGACCUGUUGAAACUGUAUGAUUAAAAUAAUGUUGUAUAAACACUGGCUCUUAAUAAUAUCCUCAAUAUAUACCUGAGAAUAUGUUAAUGUUAUCGAGAGAUAAGAAACGAUGUGUAGUAUAAGCCAUCUUUCUUACUGUCACUCUUCAUAGUCAACAUGCCUCCUGAGCUGCACCCUCAGGAACCAAAGACCAGAGCAUUACCACUGCCACUGCCCUCAUGGUCCUACACAGACAUAAGCCAAUGCAUUUAUUAUAACUCAUAAAAUAUGAACCAUAUAGUUAAAACAACACCUUUGGAGAAUUCACAGCUUUGGCUAUUUAUGAAGGUGCAUUGACAGUUAAAU
rnacentral:lncRNA from 1 species